rnacentral:lncRNA from 1 species
GACAUUCCUACUCCCUCAAGGAUCAUAAUAUACCAAUAUGUUGAUGACAUACUGGUAGGCAGAAAAAAAGAUAUUGAAUUAGUACUAGAUGUAUAGUACCCACCUUCUAACAUAAAUUUCACCGGUUGGACGACAACCGAGCAUCUUUUCUUUAUGUUUCCACAGGUAUUCCACAUGCCGGAAAAUUGCACCUGGGAUCAAGGACUCCCUUACACUGACUGGGAGUGCCCCCAAGGAUUACUAAUUGUUUGUUGCUGGGUAAUUGUAUUUCUAAUGCUUAUAAUUGUCUGUAGGCUAAAAUUGUAAUCAAAGCCUCGCUUGCACUGUCACUUGUAACAUACUGUCAACAUGAACCUAAUGUUAUACAUAGGCCGCGCCGAGAAUAUAUUCUUGAGCUUAACGUGUAUAUGCUUAAUAGGUAUAAUGAUAAUCACACGUGUAAACCGAGAGAAUAAUUGGCAGAACAGUAUGAGAACUUGUCGUGAUCAAUUCCCUCAUGAUUUGAAUGAUAAUCUGAUUUUAGCCUUGAUAAGGGGCUUUGCAGCAAUGCUUAACAAGUCCAGCAUCACUGCUUGCCUGCCCCUUCCCAAAUCAGYUGAGGAUCCCCUGCCUAUGGGAAUAAUUCCAACGGAUAUAGAAACCAGUCUAUUACRUCUCUGGAAUCAAAGUGGACCCAUACCAUUUGUAAAUCCGCAUGCCCCACAUCAGGCAYCACUAACUGUAACACCAACUGGAGCUUUCAAUUUCUCAACAAUUUCCAAAACUGACUGCACCCUUAGUUUGAACUACACAGAGGAGCCUAAUGGCUCAGUGAUCUGGAACCCAGGCGGUUGGACUACACGUUGUAGUGCAUUGCCCUGGGGUGCUUUAAAUUCAUGGUCUUGGGGACGUGCAGCCAACAUCCUGCAAUAUACCCAGCCUGUAAACACGUCCUGGUGCAUACAAUGGGACGAUGGAAUGGGCCAGGGAUGUCCAAAACAAUGCCACGAUGCUACACUGGCUGCAAAUUGUCCUUAUAGUUGCUCUUGGUCCGACCCUGAUAGGGGCUUCAUACCCUUUGAUCAUGGGUCCCCUUUUAUUCCCACGUCAAGUGGAUCAGCGCUGUGGUCUUGCCGAAUGGUGAUAAAUUGCUCCAACUGGGAACAAUACAAGUGGGUUCAGUAUUACUGGUCAGUUUACCYGACCCUAAAAAUGG